GGAAACGAUGUGCUAAAGCAUGUAUCUGCCGAACGUACAGGUGCGAUGUUGCUGAAAUUCCUUCCCAUGAAUAGAGAAGAUUUCGACUUUUUGGUGGGGCUUGUUCGUCCUUUAAUCGAGCGCAUGGAUACAAACAUGCGGGAAGCGAUUACUAACCAGGAAUGGGUAUUAAUCGCGUUGCGUUAUAUGCCAACUGGCGAAACGUUUACAGGCCUGGCAGUGUAUGUUUUGUGUGUCUCGUCCAUGCAUCGCCCAGAUAGUAAUGGAAGUGUGUAAAUGCAUUCAAGAGGCUCUACGUGACUAUGUUAAGACGCCUUGUUCGCGACAUGAAUGGCUCGAUAUUUCUGCGCAAUUUGAACGACGCUGGAACUUUCCACAUCGACGGAGACAUCGAC